UAAUACUAUAGAAUGUGACAGCUUUGAGUCUGCUGGGACUGCUGACAUCAUAUUGAAGAUGGCGGCACCCACCAGCAGCCUCGGGCUU